UCUAUGCCCUCUCUCUAAUCAAUGACUGGAUUCCAUCCCUACCAACACCCUCUUUUUGUGCCAACAGGAGCAGGGAUGGCCAGUGAAUUUGAACUUCCUGGUAAAGAACUCUGGGGCAGGACUUUGGGUCUCCCUGACCUGAGACAUGGCUACAGACGGAAGAAGCGUUGGCUCUACACCAGCCCAUCCAUCAGCUGAAUAUCAUUAGGUAUCCUCAGCGAUGCCUGUGGAACAGAAGAACCACCCAACCAAGCCUUACCCAAAUUCCUGACCCAUAAAUUGUGGGAUAUAAUAAAAUGGCUAUUGUU
rnacentral:lncRNA from 1 species